GACGAACGCUGGCGGCGCGCUUCACACAUGCAAGUCGAGCGAAUCGGCGGACGGGUGAGUAACACGUGAGUAACCUGCCUAAGACAUUGGGAUGGCCUAGGGAAACCGGGAUUAAUACCAAAUGGUCUAAGAUUGACUCGCGUCCAAUUAGCGCGUGGGUGAGGUAACGGCCCACCACGGCGACGAUGGGUAGCCGGCCUGAGAGGGUGAACGGCCACAUUGGAACUGAGAAACGGGCCAAACUCUACGGGAGGCAGCAGUGGGGAAUAUUGCACAAUGGAGGGAACUCUGAUGCAGCGACGGCGCGUGAACGAAGAAGGCUUUCGAGUCGUAAAGUUCUUUUAUAUGGGAAGCGGUACCAUAAGAAAAAGCCCCGGCUAACUACGUGCCAGCAGCCGCGGUAAUUC
rnacentral:rRNA from 1 species